rnacentral:rRNA from 1 species
UAGGGAAUCUUCGGCAAUGGACGAAAGUCUGACCGAGCAACGCCGCGUGAGUGAAGAAGGUUUUCGGAUCGUAAAACUCUGUUGUUAGAGAAGAACAAGGAAGUUAGUAACUGAACGUCCCCUGACGGUAUCUAACCAGAAAGCCACGGCUAACUACGUGCCAGCAGCCGCGGGAAUACGUAGGUGGCAAGCGGUGUCCGGCUUUAUUGGGUGUAAAGCGAGUGCAGCCGGUUUCUUAAGUCUGAUGUGAAAGCCCCCGGCUCAACCGGGGAGGGUCAAUGGAAACUGGGAGACGUGAGGGCAGAAGAGGAGAAUGGAAUUCCUUGUGUAGAGGUGAAAUACGUAGAUAUAUGGAGGAAAACCAGUGGCGAAGGCGACUGUGUGGUCUGUAACAGACGCUGAGGCUCGAAAGCGUGGGGAGCAAAAAGG